AGUCUGACGGAGCAACGCCGCGUGAGUGAUGAAGGUUUUCGGAUCGUAAAGCUCUGUUGUUAGGGAAGAACAAGUGCCGUUCAAAUAGGGCGGCACCUUGACGGUACCUAACCAGAAAGCCACGGCUAACUACGUGCCAGCAGCCGCGGUAAUACGUAGGUGGCAAGCGUUGUCCGGAAUUAUUGGGCGUAAAGGGCUCGCAGGCGGUUUCUUAAGUCUGAUGUGAAAGCCCCCGGCUCAACCGGGGAGGGUCAUUGGAAACUGGGGAACUUGAGUGCAGAAGAGGAGAGUGGAAUUCCACGUGUAGCGGUGAAAUGCGUAGAGAUGUGGAGGAACACCAGUGGCGAAGGCGACUCUCUGGUCUGUAACUGACGCUGAGGAGCGAAAGCGUGGGGAGCGAACAGGAUUAGAUACCCUGG
rnacentral:rRNA from 1 species